rnacentral:rRNA from 1 species
AUUGAACGCUAGCGGGAUGCUUUACACAUGCAAGUCGAACGGAGUGGCGGACGGGUGGGUAAUAUAUCGGAACGUGCCCAGUAGCGGGGGAAAACUACUCGAAAGAUUGGCUAAUACCGCAUAAUAUUCGAGCGGCCGAUAUCGGAUUAGCUAGUUGGUGGGGUAAAGGCUCACCAAGGCAACGAUCCGUAGCUGGUUUGAGAGGACGACCAGCCACACUGGGACUGAGACACGGCCCAGACUCCUACGGGAGGCAGCAGUGGGGAAUUUUGGGCAAUGGGGGAAACCCUGAUCCAGCCAGCCCGCGUGUAUGAUGAAGGCCUUCGGGUUGUAAAGUACUUUUGGCAGAGAAGCGGUAUCUGCAGAAUAAGCACCGGCUAACUACGUGCCAGCAGCCGCGGUAAUUC